CUCCCUCACUCUCUCGUUCCGCAGCAGACAGGGAAGCUGCCUCCAGGACAGCAAACAUCGCCGCAGCACCCGUCUGAAGUGUUCUGUGUCUACCAUGGAGGAGAAAAACGUUUUCUGACAAAGUUUCUCAACAUAACAAGGGUUCCUCAAUCUCCUUCCUCCGCCCUGCGCGUUGACGUGCACGCUCCUCCAUGGCUUCAAAGCGAGAGAGAGCUCUCUGAGUGAAGGACCCUCCAUACUGACCUGUGAUGAUGGGAUGGGCGGACGUUUGACGUGUGACAGUUUUGCUCCGAGGUGCACGG